UUGGUUUGUCUUAAGUCAAACUUAUCCAACUUUGAUCAAGUCUAUAGAGAAAUAUAAUAAUAUCUAUACUAUCAAAUAUAUGCACUAUCAAAAUAUAUUUUAUUAUGGAUUCAAUGAAACAAAUUUGAUACUGUAGAUGUUGUUAUAUUUUCUUAUAAAUUUGGUUAAAAUUGAACAAGUUUGAUUUAUGACAAACCAAA
rnacentral:pre_miRNA from 1 species